rnacentral:rRNA from 1 species
CCUACGGGUGGCAGCAGUGAGGAAUAUUGGUCAAUGGACGAGAGUCUGAACCAGCCAAGUCGCGUGAAGGAUGACUGCCCUAUGGGUUGUAAACCUCUUUUGUCAGGGAAUAAAACGAGGCACGUGUGCCUGUUUGCAUGUACCUUAUGAAUAAGGAUCGGCUAACUCCGUGCCAGCAGCCGCGGUAAUACGGAGGGUCCGAGCGUUAUCCGGAUUUAUUGGGUUUAAAGGGUGCGGAGGUGGGUUUGUAAGGCAGUUGGGAAAGUUUGCGGCGCAAACGGAAAAGUGCCAUUGAUACUGGCAGUCUUGAGUAGAGGUGAGGUAGGCGGAAUGCGUGGUGUAGCGGUGAAAUGCAUAGAUAUCACGAAGAACCCCGAUUGCGAAGGCAGCAUACCAAA